GGGGCACGCGUUGUUCGGAAUUACUGGGCGUAAAGGGCUCGUAGGUGGCCAACUAAGUCAGACGUGAAAUCCCUCGGCUUAACCGGGGAACUGCGUCUGAUACUGGAUGGCUUGAGUUCGGGAGAGGGAUGCGGAAUUCCAGGUGUAGCGGUGAAAUGCGCAGAUAUCAGGAGGAACACCGGUGGCGAAGGCGGGUCUCUGGGCCGUAACGGACGCUGAGGAGCGAAAGCAUGGGGAGCGAACAGG
rnacentral:rRNA from 1 species